rnacentral:tRNA from 1 species
GUGCGGCGUAGUGGUAGCGCUGCCGGCUGUUAACCGGACGGUCCCUGGUUCGAAUCCAGGUCGGGAUA